UUUUCACCUGAAAUGGGAGAAACGUGCUGCUGAUUCAUUUAAACCAACGCUACAUGAAGGAAACGCUUUCGACCCAGAGUUCCCAUGCCAUGGUUUCCAG